rnacentral:rRNA from 1 species
AACAAACGCUGGCGGCGUGCCUAACACAUGCAAGUCGUACGAGAAAGGGUCCUUCGGGACCUGAGUAGAGUGGCGCACGGGUGGGUAACGCGUGGAUAAUCUGCCCUUCAGUUGGGAAUAACUCAUCGAAAGGUGGGCUAAUACCGAAUAACGCUGUGAGACUUUGGUCGAUCAGCCAAAGAGAGCCUCUGCUUGCAAGCCCUCGCUGAAGGAUGAGUCCGCGGACCAUUAGCUAGUUGGUAGGGUAAUGGCCUACCAAGGCGACGAUGGUUAGCUGGUCUGAGAGGAUGAUCAGCCACACUGGAACGGAGACACGGUCCAGACUCCUACGGGAGGCAGCAGUGAGGAAUCUUGCGCAAUGGGGGCAACCCUGACGCAGCAACGCCGCGUGAGUGAGGAAGGUCUUCGGAUCGUAAAGCUCUGUCGGAUGGAAAGAACCGCAUGGGGGUAAAUAGCCCCCGUGUCUGACGGUACCAUCAAAGGAAGCACCGGCUAACUCCGUGCCAGCAGCCGCGGUAACAC